rnacentral:rRNA from 1 species
UACGUAGGCAGCAAGCGUUGUUCGGAAUUACUGGGCGUAAAGAGUGUGUAGGCGGUGCUCUAAGUUUGGUGUGAAAUCUCCCGGCUCAACUGGGAGGGUGCGCCGAAAACUGGAAUGCUUGAACGUGGGAGAGGAAAGCGGAAUUCCUGGUGUAGCGGUGAAAUGCGUAGAUAUCGGGAGGAACACCUGCGGCGAAAGCGGCUCACUGGACCAUAACUGACGCUGAGGCGCGAAAGCUAGGGGAGCAAACAGG